rnacentral:rRNA from 1 species
ACUCCUGCGGGAGGCAGCAGUGGGGAAUAUUGCACAAUGGGCGCAAGCCUGAUGCAGCCAUGCCGCGUGUAUGAAGAAGGCCUUCGGGUUGUAAAGUACUUUCAGCGGGGAGGAAGGCAAUACGGUUAAUAACCGUGUUGAUUGACGUUACCCGCAGAAGAAGCACCGGCUAACUCCGUGCCAGCAGCCGCGGUAAUACGGAGGGUGCAAGCGUUAAUCGGAAUUACUGGGCGUAAAGCGCACGCAGGCGGUCUGUCAAGUCGGAUGUGAAAUCCCCGGGCUCAACCUGGGAACUGCAUUCGAAACUGGCAGGCUUGAGUCUUGUAGAGGGGGGUAGAAUUCCAGGUGUAGCGGUGAAAUGCGUAGAGAUCUGGAGGAAUACCGGUGGCGAAGGCGGCCCCCUGGACAAAGACUGACGCUCAGGUGCGAAAGCGUGGGGAGCAAACAGGAUUAGAAACCCCUGUAGUCCC